rnacentral:rRNA from 1 species
GACGAACGCUGGCGGCGUGCCUAAUACAUGCAAGUCGAACGGUCUUUUCUAUGGAAGCUUGCUUCCACUGAGAAGAUAGUGGCGAACGGGUGAGUAACACGUUGGUAACCUGCCCAUAAGAGGGGGAUAACAUCCGGAAACGGGUGCUAAUACCGCAUAGUUUUCUUGAUCGCAUGAUCGGGAAAGGAAAGACGGCCUUUGUGCUGUCGCUUAUGGAUGGACCCGCGGCGUAUUAGUUAGUUGGUGAGGUAACGGCUCACCAAGACGAUGAUACGUAGCCGACCUGAGAGGGUGAUCGGCCACAUUGGGACUGAGACACGGCCCAAACUCCUACGGGAGGCAGCAGUAGGGAAUCUUCCGCAAUGGACGAAAGUCUGACGGAGCAACGCCGCGUGAGUGAAGAAGGUUUUCGGAUCGUAAAACUCUGUUGUCAGAGAAGAACAAGUUGGAGAGUAACUGCUCCAGCCUUGACGGUAUCUGACCAGAAAGCCACGGCUAACUACGUGCCAGCAGCCGCCGUAA